UGGAGGAAGGUGGGGAUGACGUCAAGUCAUCAUGGCCCUUACGACCAGGGCUACACACGUGCUACAAUGGCGCAUACAAAGAGAAGCGACCUCGCGAGAGCAAGCGGACCUCAUAAAGUGCGUCGUAGUCCGGAUUGGAGUCUGCAACUCGACUCCAUGAAGUCGGAAUCGCUAGUAAUCGUGGAUCAGAAUGCCACGGUGAAUACGUUCCCGGGCCUUGUACACACCGCCCGUCACACCAUGGGAGUGGGUUGCAAAAGAAGUAGGUAGCUUAACCUUCGGGAGGGCGCUUACCACUUUGUGAUUCAUGACUGGGGUGAAGUCGUAACAAGGUAACCGUAGGGGAACCUGCGGUUGGA
rnacentral:rRNA from 2 species